GUAGGUGGCAAGCGUUGUCCGGAAUUAUUGGACGUAAAGCGCGCGCAGGCGGUUCUUUAAGUCUGAUGUGAAAGCCCACGGCUCAACCGUGGAGGGUCAUUGGAAACUGGAGAACUUGAGUACAGAAGAGGAAAGCGGAAUUCCACGUGUAGCGGUGAAAUGCGUAGAGAUGUGGAGGAACACCAGUGGCGAAGGCGGCUUUCUGGUCUGUAACUGACGCUGAGGCGCGAAAGCGUGGGGAGCAAACAGGGAUUAGAUACCCUGGUAGUCCACGCCGUAAACGAUGAGUGCUAAGUGUUAGGGGGUUUCCGCCCCCUUAGUGCUGCAGCUAACGCAUUAAGCACUCCGCCUGGGGAUACGGCCGCAAGGCUG
rnacentral:rRNA from 1 species